UACAGAGGUGGCAAGCGUUGUUCGGAAUUACUGGGCGUAAAGGGCGCGUAGGCGGCCUUCUAAGUCAGACGUGAAAUCCCCCGGCUUAACCUGGGAACUGCGUCUGAUACUGGAGGGCUUGAGUAUGGGAGAGGGAUGUAGAAUUCCAGGUGUAGCGGUGAAAUGCGUAGAUAUCUGGAGGAAUACCGGUGGCGAAGGCGGCAUCCUGGACCGGCAUUGACGCUGAGGAGCGAAAGCUAGGGGAGCAAACGGG
rnacentral:rRNA from 1 species